rfam:Rhizobium sp. Root708 contig_14, whole genome shotgun sequence.
AGUCAAGCGUCUUUGGCACCGUUUCGGUGAGCAAUUUUCUUUUGCCUCUAUGUAGGUGAAGAAAAAUG